GGAUGAGACAGAAUCUAGUUGUGAUGCCUGCCACCCUACUAAUCACCAGGGUUAACUCAGCUGAUCUGGCUAACUUAACAGGUGACCCCUCCUCCUCCUCUCUCCUCACAUUUCCAUAUGCAAUCCUCUCAAACCUCACACUUGGUCAAGAAAGAUAACCAGCACCAAUGAGAUGUCAGCUGCUAGUG
rnacentral:snRNA from 1 species